AUGUUUCUUACCGGAGGUAGAGCUACUGGAUGGCCGAUGGGCCCCACAGGGUUACUGACGUCAGCCAAACUCCGAAUGCCGGUAAGUGAGAGUGUGGCAGUGAGACUGCGGGCGAUAAGGUUCGUAGUCGAGAGGGAAACAGCCCAGAUCGCCGGCUAAGGCCCCUAAGCGUGUACUAAGUGGAAAAGGAUGUGGGGUCGCGAAGACAACCAGGAGGUUGGCUUAGAAGCAGCCACCCUUGAAAGAGUGCGUAAUAGCUCACUGGUCAAGUGAUCCUGCGCCGACAAUGUAGCGGGGCUCAAGUACACCGCCGAAGCCGCGGCACUCACACAAUAGCCCGUUGGUUUUCUACGGAGAAUCAACCAGGUGUGUGGGUGGGUAGGGGAGCGUCCUGCAUCCGUGGAAGCCACAGAGUGAUCUAGUGGUGGAGGGUGUGGGAGUGAGAAUGCAGGCAUGAGUAGCGAAAGCAGAGUGAGAAACUCUGCCGCCGAAUGACCAAGGGUUCCUGGGCCAGGCUAAUCCGCCCAGGGUGAGUCGGGACCUAAGGCGAGGCCGACAGGCGUAGUCGAUGGACAACGGGUUGAUAUUCCCGUACCCGUGUAUCCGCGCCCAUGCUGAAUCAGUUGUACUAACCAUCCAGAUCCCCCAAGAAGGCCUUCGGGCCUCGAGUGGGGUGAUGCAUGGGACCUUGGCUGGUAGUAGGCAAGCGAUGGGGUGACGCAGGAAGGUAGUGGGGCCAGUCAGUGGUUGUACUGGUGUAAGCCUGUAGGGCGUGUUCUAGGCAAAUCCGGAACACA
rnacentral:rRNA from 1 species